UACGGGAGGCAGCAGGGGGGAAUAUUGCACAAUGGGCGCAAGCCUGAUGCAGCCAUGCCGCGUGUAUGAAAAAGGCCUUCGGGUUGUAAAGUACUUUCAGUCGUGAGGAAGGUGUUAAGGUUAAUAACCUUAGCAAUUGACGUUAGCGACAGAAGAAGCACCGGCUAACUCCGUGCCAGCAGCCGCGGUAAUACGGAGGGUGCGAGCGUUAAUCGGAAUUACUGGGCGUAAAGGGCACGCAGGCGGUUAAUUAAGUUGGAUGUGAAAUCCCCGGGCUUAACCUGGGAAUGGCAUUCAAGACUGGUUAGCUAGAGUCUUGUAGAGGGGGUAGAAUUCCAUGUGUAGCGGUGAAAUGCGUAGAGAUGUGGAGGAAUACCGGUGGCGAAGGGCGGCCCCUGGGACAAAGACUGACGCUCAUGUGCGAAAGCGUGGGGAGCAAACAGGGAUUAGAUACC
rnacentral:rRNA from 1 species